CCUACGUGAGGCAGCAGUGGGGAAUCUUCCGCAAUGGGCGAAAGCCUGACGGAGCAACGCCGCGUGAUCGAAUGAAGGCCUUCGGGUUGUAAAGAUCUGUUGACAGGGACGAAUAAGCAAUGCAAAUAGUUUUGUGUAUGACGGUACCUGUUUAGAAAGCUCCGGCUAACUACGUGCCAGCAGCCGCGGUAAUACGUAGGGAGCAAGCGUUGUCCGGAAUUACUGGGCGUAAAGGGCGCGUAGGUGGGCGCUUAAGUCAGGUGUGAAAACUCCGGGCUCAACCUGGAGACUGCACUUGAAACUGGGGAUCUUGAGUGGGCGAGAAGUAUGCGGAAUGCGUGGUGUAGCGGUGAAAUGCAUAGAUAUCACGCAGAACUCCGAUUGCGAAGGCAGCAUACCGGCGCCCGACUGACGCUGAGGCACGAAAGCGUGGGGAUCGAACAGGAUUAGAUACCCUUGUAGUC
rnacentral:rRNA from 1 species